GGCGAGUGGCGAACGGGUGAGUACAGGAUCGGAACGCGCCCGGUAGCGGGGGAUAACUACGCGGAAAGCGUAGCUAAUACCGCAUACGCCCUACGGGGGAAAGCAGGGGAAUCCAAGAACUCGCACUAUCGGAGCGGCCUAUAUCGGAUUAGCUAGUUGGUGGGGUAACGGCUCACCAAGGCGACGAUCCGUAGCUGGUUUGAGAGGACGACCAGCCACACUGGGACUGAGACACGGCCCAGACUCCUACGGGAGGCAGCAGUGGGGAAUUUUGGACAAUGGGGGAAACCCUGAUCCAGCCAUCCCGCGUGUGCGAUGAAGGCCUUCGGAUUGUAAAGCACUUUUGGCUGGAAAGAAACGUCGCGGGUUAAUACCCCGCUGAACUGACGGUACCUGCAGAAUAAGCACCGGCUAACUUCGUGCCAGCAGCCGCGGUAAUACGUAGGGUGCAAGCGUUAAUCGGAAUUACUGGGCGUAAAGCGUGCGCAGGCGGUUCGGAAAGAAAGAUGUGAAAUCCCCGAGCUUAACUUUGGAACUGCAUUUUUAACUACUCUGCUAGAGUGUGUCAGAAGGAUGUGGAAUUCUCCGUGUAGCAGUGAAAUGCGUAGAUAUGCGGAGGAACACCGAUGGCGAAAGCAGCCUCCUGGGAUAACACUGACACUCAUGCUCGAAAGCGUGGGGGACAAACAGGAUUAGAUACCCUGGGUAGU
rnacentral:rRNA from 1 species